GAUGAACGCUGACAGAAUGCUUAACACAUGCAAGCCGAUGGGGAAGUGGUGCUUGCACCAUGGUAACCAUGGCGGACGGGUGAGUAACGCGUAAGGAACUUGCCUGCGGGACUGGGAUAACAGCAGGAAACUGCUGAUAAUACCGGAUAAGGUCAUUAAGCUGCAUAGCUUAGUGAUGAAAGGAGACGCCUGCGGAGAGCCUUGCGUCCUAUUAGCUAGUUGGAGGGGUAACGGCCCACCAAGGCGAAGAUAGGUAGCCGGCCUGAGAGGGUGGACGGCCACAAGGGGACUGAGAUACGGCCCUUACUCCUACGGGAGGCAGCAGUGGGGAAUAUUGGACAAUGGGGGCAACCCUGAUCCAGCAAUUCUGUGUGCACGAAGACGGUUUUCGGAUUGUAAAGUGCUUUCAGCAGGGAAGAAGGAAGUGACGGUACCUGCAGAAGAAGCGACGGCUAAAUACGUG
rnacentral:rRNA from 1 species